CGACGAGGAUUAGCCUACUUCCGUUUCCACCCUUUCCCUGCACACUGUCUCAUUCUACAUGUAUUAAAAAUUGGUAUGUUACUGUAAUAUUAAUUAUGCACGAACCUACAUGUAGAGUUGUUGUAAGAUGGGUCCUUAUAUCUACUUAGCCUACAGAUGCUAGGUCGUUUCGGGAAAAAGGACAGUUUCAAUAUUGGAUGUAUAUGCAAAUCACCCAGAAAAAGAUCAUGUAAUAACAAAAGAAAUUAUAAAAGAAAAAAAUGGAAGAAGAAAUGGCUGGAAAAAAUGAUGAUAGAGCAGCUUUUUCUUGGUACCCACCUUGGAAGAUCAAGUUGGAAAGGGCUAUUGAUAUUGUGGAGACGUUUUCUCACAGAGCUUGCUUAUCAGACAAAGACUAUUUAACUACAUCAGAAAGAUAAAGACAGUUGGAAUGGCUAUUCAUAUUGUGGAAACUUUUCUCACGGAGCUCGAUAAUCAGGCAAAAUGUAAGUAACAUAUAUAUUUGUAUUUUUAAUCAGGAAGUACUUCUAUACACUUGCUUGGUAAUCUAGUUAUUCUUCUUGGGGCAAUGCCUAGGACUCUGCUGUUUCAAGUACUUGGCAUGCUUGAUUUUUGCCAAUCACAUCCAUUGAUUUCCUUCAAGUUGCGAUAGGCCCUACAUGUAUGUGUAUUUUUACAGUAAAUAGCAGUAAAAUAAUGAUGGACAGUAUUUUACUUUCAAAUAGAUUUCAAUAGAUUUUAAAGGGUAAUAUCCAAUUUGUUGUCAAAAAUUUGUUGUCAAUGGAAAUAAAAUAAGAAUGGGUCCAAAAAUAAUUAGACAUUGCCAAGUAAAUAGGUGCUGCCAUGAUGUAGUAGGGAAUCUGGAUUUGCAGACAAUACAUGUAUGAAAGGGUGAAUAGUUGACCUAUUAUGAGACUUCAGUCCCAAAUCUCAAGACUUUUUUCUGA